UUGGUGUGCUCUCCACUCCCCCUUUUUUUUUUUUUUUUUUUUUUUAUUUUUUUUCUUGGUUGCGGCGGGGGGGGCGCGGGUUAACUAAUGGGGGAAGGGGGUUUUCCUUAGCGGCGGACGGGUGAGUAACACGUGGGUAACCUGCCUGUAAGACUGGGAUAACUCCGGGAAACCGGGGCUAAUACCGGAUGCUUGUUUGAACCGCAUGGUUCAAACAUAAAAGGUGGCUUCGGCUACCACUUACAGAUGGACCCGCGGCGCAUUAGCUAGUUGGUGAGGUAACGGCUCACCAAGGCAACGAUGCGUAGCCGACCUGAGAGGGUGAUCGGCCACACUGGGACUGAGACACGCCCAGACUCCUACGGGAGGCAGCAGUAGGGAAUCUUCCGCAAUGGACGAAAGUCUGACGGAGCAACGCCGCGUGAGUGAUGAAGGUUUUCGGAUCGUAAAGCUCUGUUGUUAGGGAAGAACAAGUACCGUUCGAAUAGGGCGGUACCUUGACGGUACCUAACCAGAAAGCCACGGCUAACUACGUGCCAGCAGCCGCGGUAAUACGUAGGUGGCAAGCGUUGUCCGGAAUUAUUGGGCGUAAAGGGCUCGCAGGCGGUUUCUUAAGUCUGAUGUGAAAGCCCCCGGCUCACCCGGGGAGGGUCAUUGGAAACUGGGGAACUUGAGUGCAGAAGAGGAGAGUGGAAUUCCACGUGUAGCGGUGAAAUGCGUAGAGAUGUGGAGGAACACCAGUGGCGAAGGCGACUCUCUGGUCUGUAACUGACGCUGAGGAGCGAAAGCGUGGGGAGCGAACAGGAUUAGAUACCCUGGUAGUCCACGCCGUAAACGAUGAGUGCUAAGUGGUUAGGGGGUUUCCGCCCCUUAGUGCUGCAGCUAACGCAUUAAGCACUCCGCCUGGGGAGUACGGUCGCAAGACUGAAACUCAAAGGAAUUGACGGGGGCCCGCACAAGCGGUGGAACCAGGUGGUUUAAUUCGAAGCAACGCGAAGAACCUUACCAGGUCUUGACAUCCUCUGACAAUCCUAGAAGAUAGGACGUCCCCUUCGGGGGCAGAAUGACAGGUGGUGCAUGGUUGUCGUCACCUCGUGUCGUGAGAUGUUGGGUUAAGUCCCGCAACGAACGCAACCCUUGAUCUUAUUUGCCAGCAUUCAUUUGGGCACUCUAAGGUGACUGCCGUGACAACCCGAGGAAAGGUGGGGAUGACGUCCAAUCAUCAGCCCCUUAUAACUGGGGUAACCCCUUGCUAAAAUGGGAAGAAAAAAGGGCCCCGAAACCCCCGGUUUAACCCAUCCCCCAAAUUUUUUUCUUUUGAAAACAAUCGCACCCGCG
rnacentral:rRNA from 1 species